rnacentral:rRNA from 1 species
GAUGAACGCUGGCGGCGUGCCUAACACAUGCAAGUCGAGCGGCAGCGAGCGGUGCUUGCACCCUGUCGGCGAGCGGCGGACGUCUGAGUAACGCGUGGAAACUUGCCCCAAAGUGAGGAAUAACUCCCCGAAAGGGUAGCUAAUCCCGCUUAUUAUCUUCGGUUCAUAGGAUUUAUCCGCUUUGGGAGCGGCUCGCGUCGGAUUAGGUAGUUGGUGAGGUAAUGGCUCACCAAGCCGACGACCCGUAGCUGGUCUGAGAGGAUGACCAGCCAGACUGGAACUGAGACACGGUCCAGACUCCUACGGGAGGCAGCAGUGAGGAAUCUUCCACAAUGGGCGAAAGCCUGAUGGAGCAACGCCGCGUGCAGGACGAAGGCGUUCGGGUUGUAAACUGCUUUUAUAAGUGAGGAAUAUGACGGUAACUUAUGAAUAAGGAUCGGCUAACUACGUG